UACGUAGGGGGCUAGCGUUGUCCGGAAUCAUUGGGCGUAAAGCGCGUGUAGGCGGUUCGGUAAGUCCGCUGUGAAAGUCGGGGGCUCAACCCUCGGAUGCCGGUGGAUACUGUCGGACUAGAGUACGGAAGAGGCGAAUGGAAUUCCUGGUGUAGCGGUGAAAUGCGCAGAUAUCAGGAGGAACACCGAUUGCGAAGGCAGCUCGCUGGGACGUUACUGACGCUGAGACGCGAAAGCGUGGGGAGCAAACAGG
rnacentral:rRNA from 1 species